GUGGUUCCCUGGCUUACACCCACUCCUUCAGGAAUAAACAAACACAGGUCAAUGUGGUUCCCUGGCUUACACCCACUCCUUCAGGAAUAAACAAACACAGGUCAAUGUGGUUCCCUGGCUUACACCCACUCCUUCAGGAAUAAACAAACACAGGUCAAUGUGGUUCCCUGGCUUACACCCACUCCUUCAGGAAUAAACAAACACAGGUCAAUGUGGUUCCCUGGCUUACACCCACUCCUUCAGGAAUAAACAAACACAGGUCAAUGUGGUUCCCUGGCUUACACCCACUCCUUCAGGAAUAAACAAACACAGGUCAAUGUGGUUCCCUGACUUAUACCCACUCCUUCAGGAAUAAACAAACACAGGUCAAUGUGGUUCCCUGACUUACACCCACUCCUUCAGGAAUAAACAAACACAGGUCAAUGUGGUUCCCUGACUUACACCCACUCCUUCAGGAAUAAACAAACACAGGUCAAUGUGGUUCCCUGGCUUAGACCCACUCCUUCAGGAAUAAACAAACACAGGUCAAUGUGGUUCCCUGGCUUACACCCACUCCUUCAGGAAUAAACAAACACAGGUCAAUGUGGUUCCC